rnacentral:sRNA from 1 species
GAUCAUGGCCUAUAAAAUACUUCAAGUAGCCCUGUGUUCAACAUUGCUUAUCGGCUCAUGAAACAUGGAUUGCUUUGAAAACAACAGCACAGUAUUAUUUGGAUAUGAAUACCUUCACCUUUGACAUGUCUACUGCCCAGUAAAUAUGUUUUCCUGGUUAAAGCAGGAGGAUGAAGAUGGCACAAGUUGGAAUGGCAUUGUGCCCAAACCAUGGGUUUUAGAGAUCUGAGGGUAUAUCCAUGCUGUUUACUACAUUAUUUAUUAUGUCUGUCUCAAAGUUGUUGAAAAGAGUAGUUAUGAAAACCCAUGUAGAAACUUGGAAUAAGACAUUCUCAAUAAAUGGUAGUUCUCAAAAAAAGAACUAAAAAAAAAAAAAA